UCCUUUAAGUGUAUUUCCAACAGAGUACUUGAUAUUCAUUUAAAAAUUUACCAGGUACUUGAAUAUAGCUUCUGCAAACCAUAGAAAUAAUAAAUUUAAUAAUACUUGAAGAAUAGCCAAUUUAAUUCAUAAUGUUGAGCUCAAAUAAUAACUGUGACAGUAACAGUCACUUGAAAAGCAUAUGUAAGAAAUGGCUCAUAUUCUCCACUUAAUACAAUUACUAUUAUUAUUGAGGAAGAGGUGCUAUCUAGUGGUAUAAACAAGACGGCUGUGGGAUUAGAGCUUUUCUGCACUUUACCUUCAGUGCUUCAUUUGUGUCUCUUUCCUGCUUUUGGAAUGAUGAUUUACAGCAGCUCUAUAGUGAAUAAGUAGGAAUAGGAGAAACUCCAACUUGGCUCAAGGAAGUUUGAAUUUAAGUCUAAAAGGGGGAGGGUGUGCUGAA